CUCAAGUGGCGGACGGGUGAGUAACACGUAAGAAUUUGCCUUUAGGAGGGGGAUAACAACUGGAAACGGUUGCUAAUACCCCAUAUGCUUUCGAGUGAAAUGGAUUUUUCCGCCUAGAGAGAAGCUUGCGGCUGAUUAGCUUGUUGGUAAGGUAAUGGCUUACCAAGGCGACGAUCAGUAUCUGGUUUGAGAGGACGAUCAGACACACUGGAACUGAGACACGGUCCAGACUCCUACGGGAGGCAGCAGUGGGGAAUUUUCCGCAAUGGGCGAAAGCCUGACGGAGCAAUACCGCGUGAGGGAUGACGGCCUAUGGGUUGUAAACCUCUUUUUUCAGGGAGGAAAAAAAUGACGUUACCUGAAGAAUAAGCAUCGGCUAACUCCGUGCCAGCAGCCGCGGUAAGACGGAGGAUGCAAGUGUUAUCCGGAAUCACUGGGCGUAAAGCGUCUGUAGGUGGUUUAAUAAGUCAACUGUUAAAUCUUGGGGCUCAACCUCAAAACCGCAGUCGAAACUAUUAGACUAGAGUAUAGUAGGGGUAAAGGGAAUUUCCAGUGGAGCGGUGAAAUGCGUAGAGAUUGG
rnacentral:rRNA from 1 species